GGAAGGGAAUAAAAAGUAAAUAAAAGCUAUGAUACAGAUGGUAGAGGAAGAUGAUGAUGACAGGAGAGAGAUUAACAGAUGGACAUGAAUAUAAAGAACAAAAUGAGUAAGAAGCUAAAGAAGAAAAUAAAGGAAGUGUAGUAGCAGGUGCAUGUAGAGUAAGAAGCUAAAGAAGAAAAGAAAGGAAGUGUAGUAGCAGGUGCAUGUAGAGUAAGAAGCUAAAGAAGAAAAGAAAGGAAGUGUAGUAGCAGGUGCAUGUAGAGUAAGAAGCUAAAGAAGAAAAGAAAGGAAGUGUAGUAGCAGGUGCAUGUAGAGUAAGAAGCUAAAGAAGAAAAGAAAGGAAGUGUAGUAGCAGGUGCAUGUAGAGUAAGAAGCUAAAGAAGAAAAGAAAGGAAGUGUAGUAGCAGGUGCAUGUAGAGUAAGAAGCUAAAGAAGAAAAGAAAGGAAGUGUAGUAGCAGGUGCAUGUAGAGUAAGAAGCUAAAGAAGAAAAGAAAGGUGUAGUAGCAGGUGCAUGUAGAGUAAGAAGCUAAAGAAGAAAAGAAAGGAAGUGUAGCAGGUGCAUGUAGAGUAAGAAGCUAAAGAAGAAAAUAAAGGAAGUGUAGUAGCAGGUGCAUGUAGCUACAGAACAGUAGAACAAAGUUAAGUAGUUACAGGCCAGUGCCGUCAAAAGAGUGAUUUUCCUGUGUUUAUAUAUCUAUUUCCACACUAUAAGGCUGGAAUAAUACUGUUAAAUUGUGAAAAUUAUGAUAAUACCAUUUUAGUGUAGGAGCUGUUUGAAAAGAAAAUCAGCCUGUUUUGGUGGGUGGAGUUUUGGCCUGCAUGGUGACAUCACCAUGCGUUCAAUUCGUUGAUCGACCAAUAAGAAAGAGUUCCAAAUCUCUCUGCCAAUAACAGCUCGUUUUCAGUUUCCACCUCCCCACUCAGACCACUCCCAGACAGUCCUAGCAAAAUUCUUGCUUGAGAAAUUGCUCUUUGCUAAGAAUGUAUUUUUUGUUUAUUUUGGGACAUUUCAACUGAAAACAAAUCACAGUAACGUACCUAAUUAUUACCCAGAAAUGAUUUGAUAUUUAAAUAAAAACAGAGGCCUUUAAAACUCUUGAAUAUCUGAACUUGGUAAAGAGAAAAACAGGAUGAGAGAAAGGAGGUUAUGAACAAGACAAACUAUUUUUUAUAGCAUCAGAAAAAAGUUAUUUUUCUUACAGUCACUUCUCUAAAAAAACAAAAGGGAAUUGAGCACAAGGCAGAUAAGUCAUUCUCCCUCCCAACAACAUCCAAUUAUAUUUAGGGACUUCUCAUCGUAUAUAAUAUAUAUUUAUGCAUCUAUUUAUAUAUAUAUAUAUAUGUAUAAUCUGUGGCGU